UACAUGGGGUGCAAACGUUGCUCGGAAUUAUUGGGCGUAAAGCGCGCGUAGGCGGUUACUCAAGUCGGAUGUGAAAGCCCUCGGCUUAACUGAGGAAGUGCACCCGAAACUGAGUAGCUAGAGUACCAAAGAGGGUCGCGGAAUUCCCGGUGUAGAGGUGAAAUUCGUAGAUAUCAGGAGGAACACCGGUGGCGAAGGCGGCUUCCUGGCCAUUCACUGACGCUGAGACGCGAAAGCGUGGGGAGCAAACAGG
rnacentral:rRNA from 1 species